rnacentral:rRNA from 1 species
GAUGAACGCUGGCGGCGUGCUUAACACAUGCAAGUCGAACGGUGAACACGGAGCUUGCUCUGUGGGAUCAGUGGCGAACGGGUGAGUAACACGUGAGCAACCUGCCCCUGACUCUGGGAUAAGCGCUGGAAACGGCGUCUAAUACUGGAUAUGUGACGUGACCGCAUGGUCUGCGUUUGGAAAGAUUUUUCGGUUGGGGAUGGGCUCGCGGCCUAUCAGCUUGUUGGUGAGGUAAUGGCUCACCAAGGCGUCGACGGGUAGCCGGCCUGAGAGGGUGACCGGCCACACUGGGACUGAGACACGGCCCAGACUCCUACGGGAGGCAGCAGUGGGGAAUAUUGCACAAUGGGCGGAAGCCUGAUGCAGCAACGCCGCGUGAGGGAUGACGGCCUUCGGGUUGUAAACCUCUUUUAGCAGGGAAGAAGCGAAAGUGACGGUACCUGCAGAAAAAGCGCCGGCUAACUACGUG